CCCAGGUACCCGGAUGUGUUUUCCGGGCUGAUGAGUCCGUGAGGACGAAACCUGGG
rnacentral:hammerhead_ribozyme from 1 species